rnacentral:rRNA from 1 species
GACGAACGCUGGCGGCGUGCUUAACACAUGCAAGUCGAACGGAAAGGCCCUGCUUUUGUGGGGUGCUCGAGUGGCGAACGGGUGAGUAACACGUGAGUAACCUGCCCUUGACUUUGGGAUAACUUCAGGAAACUGGGGCUAAUACCGGAUAGGAGCUCCUGCUGCAUGGUGGGGGUUGGAAAGUUUCGGCGGUUGGGGAUGGACUCGCGGCUUAUCAGCUUGUUGGUGGGGUAGUGGCUUACCAAGGCUUUGACGGGUAGCCGGCCGGAGGGGGUGACCGGCCAAAUUGGGAGUGGGAUGCGGCCCAGACCCCUACGGGGGGGAGGGGGGGGAAAUAUUGGAAAAGGGGCGGAAGCCGGACGGAGCAACGCCGGGUGCGGGAUAGCGGCCUUGGGGUUGGAAACCGCUUUCCCCUGUGACGAAGCGUAAGGGACGGAAAUGGGAAAAAAAACACCGGCAAACUACGU